rnacentral:rRNA from 3 species
AGACCCGAAACCCGGUGAUCUAGCCAUGGGCAGGUUGAAGGUUGGGUAACACUAACUGGAGGACCGAACCGACUAAUGUUGAAAAAUUAGCGGAUGACCUGUGGCUGGGGGUGAAAGGCCAAUCAAACCGGGAGAUAGCUGGUUCUCCCCGAAAGCUAUUUAGGUAGCGCCUCGUGAAUUCAUCUCCGGGGGUAGAGCACUGUUUCGGCUAGGGGGCCAUCCCGGCUUACCAACCCGAUGCAAACUGCGAAUACCGGAGAAUGUUAUCACGGGAGACACACGGCGGGUGCUAACGUCCGUCGUGAAGAGGGAAACAACCCAGACCGCCAGCUAAGGUCCCAAAGUCAUGGUUAAGUGGGAAACGAUGUGGGAAGGCCCAGACAGCCAGGAUGUUGGCUUAGAAGCAGCCAUCAUUUAAAGAAAGCGUAAUAGCUCACUGGUCGAGUCGGCCUGCGCGGAAGAUGUAACGGGGCUAAACCAUGCACCGAAGCUGCGGCAGCGAACGUAUCACCCAAGACAACUUUACGGAGUUGACGAUUGACGGAGCGAAGCGACGUCAAAGCGUUCAUUAAAGUCGAGUUGGCUUAGGGAUACGUUCGUUGGGUAGGGGAGCGUUCUGUAAGCCUGUGAAGGUGUGUCGUGAGGCAUGCUGGAGGUAUCAGAAGUGCGAAUGCUGACAUAAGUAACGAUAAAGCGGGUGAAAAGCCCGCUCG